CUACGGGAGGCUGCAGUGGGGAAUAUUGGACAAUGGGGGCAACCCUGAUCCAGCCAUGCCGCGUGUGUGAAGAAGGCCCUCGGGUUGUAAAGCACUUUCAGUGAGGAAGAACGCCUGGUGGUUAAUACCCAUCAGGAAAGACAUCACUCACAGAAGAAGCACCGGCUAACUCCGUGCCAGCAGCCGCGGUAAUACGGAGGGUGCGAGCGUUAAUCGGAAUUACUGGGCGUAAAGCGCGCGUAGGUGGCUUGAUAAGCCGGUUGUGAAAGCCCCGGGCUCAACCUGGGAACGGCAUCCGGAACUGUCAAGCUAGAGUGCAGGAGAGGAAGGUAGAAUUCCCGGUGUAGCGGUGAAAUGCGUAGAGAUCGGGAGGAAUACCAGUGGCGAAGGCGGCCUUCUGGACUGACACUGACACUGAGGUGCGAAAGCGUGGGUAGCAAACAGGAUUAGAUACCCUUGUAGUC
rnacentral:rRNA from 1 species